rnacentral:rRNA from 1 species
GCUGGGCGGCGUGCUUACACAUGCAAGUCGAACGCGAAAGUUUUCUUCGGAAGACGAGUAGAGUGGCGCACGGGUGAGUAACGCGUAAGUAAUCUGCCCUGGUAUUUGGGAUAACCCACCGAAAGGUGUGCUAAUACCGGAUACGCUGAUUUAUCAGGAAAGGUGGCCUCUUCAUGAAAGCUACUGUACCAGGAGGAGCUUGCGUACCAUUAGCUAGUUGGUAGGGUAAUGGCCUACCAAGGCAACGAUGGUUAGCGGGUCUGAGAGGAUGAUCCGCCACACUGGAACUGAAACACGGACCAGACUCCUACGGGAGGCAGCAGUGAGGAAUAUUGCGCAAUGGGGGAAACCCUGACGCAGCGACGCCGCGUGGAUGAUGAAGGCCUUAGGGUCGUAAAAUCCUGUCAGAUGGAAAGAAAUGUACAUGUGCUAAUAUCACUUGUAUUUGACGGUACCAUCAAAGGAAGCACCGGCUAACUCCGUGCCAGCAGCCGCGGUAAUACGGAGGGUGCAAGCGUUGUUCGGAAUUACUGGGCGUAAAGCGCGCGUAGGCGGUUUGUUAAGUCAGAUGUGAAAGUCCACGGCUCAACCGUGGAAAGUGCAUUUGAAACUG